rnacentral:lncRNA from 1 species
ACGCGCGGGGCCUGGCCAAUGGCGGCGGGGCGGUGGAGGUUGAGCUGCCGUGGCCCUCCAGAAUACCCAUCAUAUAGCCCCUGAGGUGGCAUGGUGAUGUCUCCAUGAGGGAACCCCUUCCCACUCAUCCUGUCACGUAUAUCAUAGUGUUCUUGACUGGGCCAUUCAUCUAAGAUGGGAUUUACCCUGUGAAACAGGGAGAAGACUUAUGGACCCCAAGCAUCAUUUCGAGUUGUAGUUGAGUUUUUAAAAGACAUACAUGCAAAGUUCCUUUGCUUUGGACCCUCUGCAUUAUUAAAGCUGCUGUAUUGCUAACCCAGAACUGCUCCAGUGUCUUGACUGAUCAUCAUGGCUUCAGUUUGGAAGAGACUGCAGCGUGUGGGAAAACAUGCAUCCAAGUUCCAGUUUGUGGCCUCCUACCAGGAGCUCAUGGUUGAGUGUACGAAGAAAUGGCAACCAGAUAAACUGGUGGUAGUUUGGACCAGAAGAAGCCGAAGGAAGUCUUCUAAGGCACAUAGCUGGCAACCUGGAAUAAAAAAUCCCUAUCGUGGUGUUGUUGUGUGGCCUGUUCCUGAAAACAU